rnacentral:rRNA from 1 species
UACGUAGGGUGCAAGCGUUUGUCCGGAAUUAUUGGGCGUAAAGAGCUCGUAGGCGGUCUGUCGCGUCUGCUGUGAAAACUCAGGGCUUAACCCUGAGCUUGCAGUGGGUACGGGCAGACUAGAGUGCGGUAGGGGAGACUGGAAUUCCUGGUGUAGCGGUGAAAUGCGCAGAUAUCAGGAGGAACACCGGUGGCGAAGGCGGGUCUCUGGGCCGUAACUGACGCUGGAGGAGCGAAAAGCUAGGGGAGCAAACAGG